rnacentral:rRNA from 1 species
GCAUAUCAAUAAGCGGAGGAAAAGAAACCAACAGGGAUUGCCUCAGUAACGGCGAGUGAAGCGGCAAAAGCUCAAAUUUUAAAGCUGGCACCUUCGGUGUCCGCGUUGUAAUUUUGUGAGGCAUCUCCGGGUAGGGCGCCGGCCUAAGUUCCUUGGAACAGGACGUCAUAGAGGGUGAGAAUCCCGUGCUUGGCUGGCUGUCCCCGUCCAUGUGAGGUGUCUUCGACGAGUCGAGUUGUUUGGGAAUGCAGCUCAAAAUGGGUGGUAAAUUUCAUCUAAAGCUAAAUAUUGGUGGGAGACCGAUAGCGCACAAGUAGAGUGAUCGAAAGAUGAAAAGCACUUUGAAAAUAGAGUUAAAAAGUACGUGAAAUUGUUGAAAGGGAAGCGCUUGAGACCAGACUUCGGUGGGGAGUGAUCAGCUGUCCUUCUGGGCGGUGCACUUGCUCCCCUCCGGGCCAGCAUCGGUUGGGACGGCGGGAUAAAGGUCCCGGGAAUGUGGCUCCUCUCGGGGAGUGUUAUAGCCCGGGUGAAUGCCGCCAGCCCCGACCGAGGACCGCGCCUUCGGGCUAGGAUGCUUGGCAUAAUGGUCUUCAGCGACCCGUCUUGAAACACGGACCAAGGAGUCUAACAUCUAUGCGAGUGUUUGGGUGUCAAACCCUUACGCGAAAUGAAAGUGAACGGAGGUGGGAACCCGCAAGGGUGCACCAUCGACCGGUCCCGAAGUCUUCUGAAGGAUCUGAGUAGGAGCAUAGCUGUUGGGACCCGAAAGAUGGUGAACUAUGCCUGAAUAGGGUGAAGCCAGAGGAAACUCUGGUGGAGGCUCGCAGCGGUUCUGACGUGCAAAUCGAUCGUCAAAUUUGGGUAUAGGGGCGAAAGACUAAUCGAACCAUCUAGUAGCUGGUUCCUGCGA